rnacentral:rRNA from 1 species
CCUACGGGUGACAGCAGUGAGGAAUAUUGGUCAAUGGACGAUAGUCUGAACCAGCCAAGUAGCGUGAAGGAUGACUGCCCUAUGGGUUGUAAACUUCUUUUAUAUGGGAAUAAAAUGCAGUAUGUGUACUGCUUUGCAUGUACCUUAUGAAUAAGGAUCGGCUAACUCCGUGCCAGCAGCCGCGGUAAUACGGAGGAUCCGAGCGUUAUCCGGAUUUAUUGGGUUUAAAGGGAGCGUAGGUGGGUUGUUAAGUCAGUUGUGAAAGUUUGCGGCUCAACCGUAAAAUUGCAGUUGAUACUGGCAGUCUUGAGUACAGUAGAGGUAGGCGGAAUUCGUGGUGUAGCGGUGAAAUGCUUAGAUAUCACGAAGAACCCCGAUUGCGAAGGCAGCUUGCUAAACUGUGACUGACACUGAUGCUCGAAAGUGUGGGUAUCAAACAGGAUUAGAUACCCUUGUAGUC